AAUUUUAAAAAAACAGACUAAAUCUUUUUGAGUAGUUUCAGAUUUUCAGAAAAAUUGAGAAGGAAGUAUGGAGUUGCCACCUACUCCAUUAGUGUUUCCCCUUUAACUGACUGGUACAUUUGUUGCAAUUGGUGAACCAAUAUUGUUAACUUUUUUUUUUUUUUUUUAAGAUUUUGUUUAUUUAUUU